CUAUUUUAGUCAAAGCGGCUGCGGGCGUGGGGACCCGGCCCGGGCUGCGGAGCUUCCGGACCCGCGGACUCGCCGAGGAGCGCGCGUCCGACACCCGUCGAACCGCUGAGCCCGUGUCCCCCGAGUCCCGCGCUCCGAAGCUGCCGCUCCGAACUUUGGUCGGUGCAGCCCAGGUUCCUCGCCGAGGACCAGCCAGGAAUUUUCAAAAUGAAUUAUACAGAGUCCAGCUCAUUGACGGAAUCAACUGCCAUAGGUUUUACACCUGAGUUAGAAAGUGUCAUACCCGUGCCUUCCAAUGAGACCACUUGUGAAAACUGGAGAGAGAUACAUCAUCUGGUUUUUCAUGUAGCAAAUAUUUGUUUUGCAGUUGGGUUGGUUAUUCCAACAACUCUUCACCUUCAUAUGAUAUUUCUUAGGGGAAUGUUAACUCUAGGAUGUACACUUUAUAUUGCCUGGGCCACUCUCUACCGAUGUGCCUUGGAUAUAAUGAUCUGGAAUUCUGUGUUCUUGGGUGUCAACAUUUUGCAUCUGUCAUAUCUUUUAUACAAGAAGAGACCGGUAAAGAUUGAAAAGGAACUCAGUGGCAUCUACCGGCGAUUGUUUGAACCACUCCGUGUGCCUCCAGAUUUGUUCAGAAGAUUAACUGGACAGUUUUGCAUGAUCCAAACCUUGAAAAAGGGCCAGACUUACGCUGCAGAAGAUAAAACCUCAGUUGAUGACCGUCUGAGUAUUCUCUUGAAGGGGAAAAUGAAGGUCUCCUAUCGAGGACAUUUUCUGCAUAACAUUUACCCCUGUGCCUUUAUAGAUUCUCCUGAAUUUAGAUCAACUCAGAUGCACAAAGGUGAAAAAUUCCAGGUCACCAUUAUUGCAGAUGAUAACUGCAGAUUUUUAUGCUGGUCAAGAGAAAGAUUAACAUACUUUCUGGAAUCAGAACCUUUCUUGUAUGAAAUCUUUAGGUAUCUUAUUGGAAAAGACAUUACAAAUAAGCUCUACUCAUUGAAUGAUCCCACCUUAAAUGAUAAGGUAAAAAGCCAAAAAGCUGGAACAUCAGCUCAGCCUCUGCACACAGAUCUCCAUGCUGGAAAUGAGGAACAGUAUAGCCAGCUCCAGUGACAGUGACGACGGCUUGCACCAGUUUCUUCGGGGUACCUCCAGCAUGUCCUCUCUUCAUGUGUCAUCCCCACACCAGCGAGCCUCUGCCAAGAUGAAACCGAUAGAAGAAGGGGUAGAAGAUGACGAUGAGGUCUUUGAACCGGUAUCUCCAAAUACAUUUAAAGUCCGUCAGCUGCCUUGAUCAGAGAGAGAAUUCAGGUUACCAAGACAAAAGGUGUCUUGAGGUCCUGGAAAAUACCAGCACUUUCUCAUGGCUUUUAGGUUAUUCUAUGUUAGUGCAUCCAUACUGGUAGAGUCUGAGGGAGGAAGUGAGGAAAGAUCAAGGAUGGAAGCGUUCUUUCACUUAUCCUUUUUGUUAGUCAGUCUUGAAGUAAUUGUUUUACUGAGCCUUCUGACUAUGCCUUGUUCUAUUUUGAGAUAUAUAAUUUUCACAGUCUUUUCUAGAUACAUUAUUGUUUUAACUUAACAAAUCUUAGCAAUCUCUCAAUGCAAA